AGUGAACGCUGGCGGUAGGCCUAACACAUGCAAGUCGAACGGCAGCACAGUAAGAGCUUGCUCUUACGGGUGGCGAGUGGCGGACGAGUGAGGAAUACAUCGGAAUCUACUUUUUCGUGGGGGAUAACGUAGGGAAACUUACGCUAAUACCGCAUACGACCUACGGGUGAAAGCAGGGGAUCUUCGGACCUUGCGCGAUUGAAUGAGCCGAUGUCGGAUUAACUAGUUGGCGGGGUAAAGGCCCACCAAGGCGACGAUCCGUAGCUGGUCUGAGAGGAUGAUCAGCCACACUGGAACUGAGACACGGUCCAGACUCCUACGGGAGGCAGCAGUGGGGAAUAUUGGACAAUGGGCGCAAGCCUGAUCCAGCCAUACCGCGUGGGUGAAGAAGGCCUUCGGGUUGUAAAGCCCUUUUGUUGGGAAAGAAAAGCAGCAGGUUAAUACCCCGCUGUUCUGACGGUACCCAAAGAAUAAGCACCGGCUAACUUCGUG
rnacentral:rRNA from 1 species